rnacentral:tRNA from 1 species
GGAGAGGUGGCAGAGUGGUCGAAUGCGGCUGACUUGAAAUCAGUUGUGGCGAAAGCUACCGGGGGUUCGAAUCCCUCCCUCUCCG